UCUCACUGUAAAUAGUUCUAUUCUGACCACUCCCAUCCGUCCUAUCCAUGCUCUUCUGAACUGGCCUUAACUCUCACUCUCUCUCUGAUUUGGCUCCAGGGUGCCGUGAGUUAUCACAUUGGGCAUCACUGUCCCCACUCCACAGGAAGGACACUGAAGUUUAGACAGUGGUCAGAAAUGUGAGGAUGAAAAUGAAUAUGGCAGAAGAGGCAGCUCCUGUCACUUUCUCACAGCUCUUCUCUGUUGUUUAGCCACUAAGUCAUGUCCGACUCUUUACAACCCCAUGGACUGCAGCACGCCAGGCUUCCCUGUUCUUCACCAUCU
ensembl:lncRNA